AUUGAACUCUGGCGGCAGGCCUAACACAUGCAAGUCGAACGAGUGGCGGACGGGUGAGUAAUGUCUGGGAAACUGCCUGAUGGAGGGGGAUAACUACUGGAAACGGUAGCUAAUACCGCAUACCAUCAGAUGUGCCCAGAUGGGAUUAGCUAGUUGGUGUGGUAACGGCUCACCAAGGCGACGAUCCCUAGCUGGUCUGAGAGGAUGACCAGCAACACUGGAACGGAGACACGGUCCAGACUCCAACGUGAGGCAGCAGUGGUGAAGAUUGAACAAUGGGAGCAAGCGUGAUGCAGCCAUGCCGCGUGUAUGAAGAAGGCCUUCGGGUUGUAAAGUACUUGCAGCGGGGAGGCGUUACCCGCAGAAGAAGCACCGGCUAACUCCGUGCCAGCCGCCGCGGUAAUUC
rnacentral:rRNA from 1 species